AUGCCGUUUGGUGGAUGGCUGGGCUCAAGAACCGAUGAAGGACGUGCCAAGCUGCGAUAAGCCACGGGGAGGCGCAUGGAACCUUUGAUCCGUGGAUUUCCUAAUGGGAACUCCUGCAUCUUUUUAGGUGCAUUCCGUAAUGGAAGGGGAACGCCCUGAGUUGAAACAUCUGCGUAGGGGCAGGAGAAGAAAUCAAAUCGAGAUGCUGUUAGUAACGGCGAGUGAACACAGCAAAGCCCAAACUGAAUCCCCGCAAGGGGAGAUGUGGUGUAGUAAAACCACCUUUUAAGACUUGUGCGUGAUAGACUAACUCCACUGGAACGUGGGACCGUAGAGGGUGAUAGUCCCGUUGUUUUCGCAAACAAGCUGUGGUGUGUUUUGAGUACCGUGGGUCGGAUAUCUCGCGGGAAUCCGGGGGACACUUACCUCCAAGGCUAAACAUAUCUUGAGACCGAUAGCGCAAUAGUAGAGUGAUCGAAAGCUGAAAAGCACCCCGUGAAGGGAGGCGAAAAGAGCCUGAAAUCAAACGGUGACGGAGGGACAAGGCAUGAAAGGAUCUUCUCGUUGAAAGAAGCAGUCGCGAGGCUGUUGUAUGAAACGAGUUGCCAGUGUCUUGUCGUACGUUUUGAAGAACGGGCCAAGGAGUGCAACAGAAUGGCGAGGCUAACCACACAUGGGGAGCCGAAGGGAAACCAACAUGCACGCAAGCAAUGAGGUGCGGCGUAUUCAAGUGCGCGGAGUCAUUAGGUUGCGACCCGAAACCAGGUGAUCUAGACGUGGGCAGAUUGAAGCGUAACGAAAGUUACGUGGAGGAUCGUUAGCGGUGUUGAUAUGCAAAUCACUCGCGUGACCUGCGCCUAGGGGUGAAAGUCCAAUCGAACUUGGAAACAGCUGGUUCCCUCCGAAACAUAUCGUAGUAUGACCUCGCACGAGGCCGUGGGCGGAGUAGAGCACUGAUUAGGGGAGCCGGGCGGGAAACUGCUCGUCCUCUUGUCAAACUCCAAAGCCGCUCUCGCUGUAGACUGCGGGCAGUCCGGGCUGGUGGGUAAGCUACUAGUCCGUAAGGGAGACAACCCAGACCAGGGUUAAGGUCCUUAAUUGUCGGCUAAGUGUCAACACUGAAGGGCGUCCCAAGCCCUAGACAACCGGGAGGUGAGCUUAGAAGCAGCUACCCUCUAAGAAAAGCGUAACAGCUUACCGGUCGAGGUUUGGGGCCCCGAAAAUUGACGGGGCUAAAGCCGACAACCGAGACCCUGGAACACUGAAAAGUGAUUUCGUAGGAGGGCGCAACAUGUGGAUAGAAGCAGGGCUGUAAGGUCCUGUGGACCACAUGCUGACGAAAAUCUUGGCAUUAGUAGCAGCUUAGCAAGGUGAGAAUCCUUGCCGCCGAAAGGGCUAGGUUUCCUCGGCAAUGAUCGUCAGCCGAGGGUUAGUCGAUCCUAAGACCCACCUUAAUCGGAGUGGGCCGAAAGGGAAACAGGUUAAUAUUCCUGUACUUGCAUGUGCUAAAACCGACGCUUGGGGCCAGCACCGGCAAAACCGUCGUUUUGCUCAAACUAAUAGCACCAUGGAGAAACGUCAUGUUGAGAAGUGGUGUAAUAUGUGAUGACGUAAGCGGUGUAACGCCCGGAGCCCAUGAAAAGGGAACAUGCAAACCGUACCAAGAUCCGACACUGGUGCCCCUAGUUAAGAAGACUAAGGCGUGUCGGCAUACCGUAGCCAAGGGAAUUCGGCAAAUUAGCUCCGUAACUUCGGGAUAAGGAGUGCCUGCCUUGAAGAAGGCAGGUCGCAGUGACGAGGGAGCACUAACUGUCUAAUAACAACAUAGCUGAUCGCCAAACUGUAAAGUCUAGUACGAUCAGUGAAUCCUGCCCAGUGCAGGUACCUGAAAACCUCGUUCAAGGGGAAGAAGGGCCUGUCAACGGCGGGGGUAACUAUAACCCUCUUAAGGUAGCGUAGUACCUUGCCGCUUAAUUGGCGGCUUGCAUGAAUGGAUCAAUGAGUGCUCUACUGUCCCUGGCUACGCGCCGGUGAACAUUACAUCCUAGUGCAGAGUCUAGGGACCCCUAAUGGGAAGUGAAGACCCCGUGGAGCUUUACUGCAACCUGUCGCUGGGUUGUGGCCCUGGAUGUGCAGAGUAGGUAGGACCCGUCGAUCUCCGGACGCUAGUUCGGAGGGAGGGGACGAUGAGACACUACCCUUCUUGGACUACGACCCUAACUCAGAGAUGAGGACCCCGAUAGGUGGGCAGUUUGGCUGGGGCGGCACGCCCUCGAAAAGGUAUCGAGGGCGCCCUAAGGUCAACUCAAUCGAGUCAGAAACUCGAUGGAGAGUGUAAGAGCAUAAGUUGGCUUGACUGAGACUCGCACAACGAGAGUCGCAGAAACGAAAGUUGGGUCUAACGAACCACUACGCCCCCUAAGUGGGGGCUAUUGAUGUCAGAAAAGCUACCCCGGGGAUAACAGAGUCGUCGCCGGCAAGAGUACAUAUCGACCCGGCGGCUUGCUACCUCGAUGUCGGUUCUUUCCAUCCUGGCAGUGCAGCAGCUGCCAAGGGUGAGGUUGUUCGCCUAUUAAAGGAGAUCGUGAGCUGGGUUUAGACCGUCGUGAGACAGGUCGGUUACUAUCUGUUAGGGGUGUUUGGUGGUCUGAACGGAAGUUGCUUUUAGUACGAGAGGAACAAGGCAACGGCGCCACUAGUCAACCAGUUGUUUGACAAAGCACGGCUGGGCAGCCACGCGCCACGUUGUAAGGGCUGAAAGCAUCUAAGCCCGAAAAACACCGCAAAAAGAGACCACAAUCGGGCCCUCGU
rnacentral:rRNA from 1 species